CGCAACUUCAAGAGAGGAGGCCCCAAGUUAGUUGCGGUUAAUCCGUUAUAAGAGUACACAAGUUAGUUGCAGGGAAUUCCUAUGUUAAAUUCGGCAGCAUCAGCUUUGGCUACUCUGUGUUAGCAUACUAUGUAAAACUAUAAUUUUCAUCAACGGAUUCGUUAAUCAUGUCCUAUGCACUGAGCUAAACCGAACGCUAGAGUCAUUAAACAGAGACUAUAAUUAUAUAUUACACUGCCGGGAACAGUGCUCAUCCUGCCAGAUACAUUGAAAAAUCUUAUUAGGGGCCUAUCCCGCAGGUUAUAAAUCGCUUUGUAAUUACUUAAGGAUUUUUAUUUUUAUAAAAAUUUUACAAAAAAUUUUUAAGGAUACCAUUUUAACCAUUGAGUAUUGUUGUUUUUAAUGUAAUA